GAAUAAGGAGUACUGGCAGCAGCAGGCAGGCAGGCGGGCUGCGAGGCUGCAUGGAAAUCCUGAACUCUUUCUUGCUUUUCUGUUUUGAAAUGCUUUGGAAGGAGAGUUAAGAAUAGCACAGAAACUGUUUCUCUCUCUCUCUCUCUCUCUCUCUCUCUCUCUCUCUCUCUCUCUCUCUCUGUCUCUCCCCCCCACCCCAGUCGCUUGCAAAGAAUGAUGAGAAGCAUAAAAGCUAAAUCUUCCAGCACUACUAGACACCUCUUUGGUAUUUGCAGUAAACCUAACAGGAUAAAUUGCUGCCUGUAAAAUCCUAUGCCAAAAUACCCAAAAUGAAGGGACUGGUACAGCAAAGUCAGAGCACAAAGGCUGCCUCCGAGAGAGAUUUGUCACCUUUAACUCAUUGUGCUGGGAAGCUUUCUGCUAAUGCAUCACACUGAGAAUAGAGUGAGGAAAGAAGAGAAUUUAGGUGUAUGGAAGAACACAGUGAUCUAAUUUCAUCUCCUCUUGAAACUCAGAAGUGGGUAGAACUGAGAUGGUGAGCUUAAGCUGGCACUGAGGAUGAGGCAAAGUUGGACAUUCCAAAGAUGGCGUAGAUGAACAUGACCAGGAAGAGCAGGAGGCCGAUGUUAAACAAGGCAGGAAGGGACAUCAUCAAAGCAAAGAGCAGCGUGCGGAUCCCCUUGGCUCCUUUGAUCAGGCGAAGGAUUCUGCCUAUCCUGGCCAGACGGAUCACUCGGAACAGGCACUUUUGGAACUCAGUUUGGAUGUUUCUGAAGAACUCUCUGAGAGGCCCAUGAUUUGGCUUCGUCUAAUACUUGUGUAUUCAACUGCUGCUGCUGCAAUUGCCUGUUUAACCAAGACAAUGCUCACCAUAACUCAGGUGAAGACUCUGGAAACCCUGUCACAGGUGCAUGUCUCCCACCCACCUAGUUACACUAUGCGUGUGAUUAUAUUCUUCAUACAUGAAGUGACAGUUUUCUUUGCACAAUGACCAGAGAGCUUAUACAUCACAUAUUUGCUGCUUUUCCCACACUGUAAUAAAGUUCAAUUGUACUUGGGAAUUGAGCUCUUAGACGUUACUAAUUUGCUUAUAGUAAAGCAAUUGUAGGUAUUAUAUGUUAAAGUUUUGUCAGGUAGUUUGGGGACAUAAAACUCAUAUAAGUUGUAUAAUAUAUAAUGAUUUUCUUGAUAUAAUUAACUCAAUGUUAUCAAUUGAUCAGACCAGGUUAUUGAGAUGGCAUUAUUUGAAAAUUCAGAUGAAUGAUUUAAAAAUGAUUGUAUCUACAGAAAACUGUAAGGUCAAUGAUUAUCGUCUUAUGCGCCUCUAAGGGCUCCUGAAUUGUAUCUGGGAUAAUGUAGUGCAUAUAUCACCUCCGUAUGAACAUUUUGAGAAACAAAAAACAGGACAAUUUUUUUCAAAAAAUUGGGAAACUAGAUAUACAUGAAAGAAGAAAAGAACUUAUAAUCCUACCCCACCAAAAUAAAUGAGGAUUGGGUACCGAGAACACACACAUUAACAGUGUCUUGGAUCCAGGAGGUUCACACUCACGUUGGAGACAAACAAAAAUUACAGUGAAAGAGAUCAAAGCGAUGAACUGAUGCAAGUGUUGAGCAACUGACUUGGGAGAGGGGAAUUUAGAGAAAUGAAUUUUUACCUGUGAGUAAGACUUGCAAAUAAACCAUGGUUGUCACGUGAGCAUAGGUAAGCCACAUGAGUUCAAGACAGCCCAGCCAAGCACAUGAGGAAAGUGGUACACAUGUAGACUGGGAAGAAUAUUAUAGUGUGCUUCCUGUUAUUUUCCUUGGAUCACAUGCAUUGAUAUAUUGAGGAAGAUAAAUGAUCUAAAGAUCAGUUUUCUCCAGAAAGGACAAGAAAAUAUUUAUAACCUGAGAACUACCUGCUCUAAUGAUGCUGGGAUAAAACAAUUCUAAUUUUAAUAACAAAUGGUAGCAUUUUCUCUACUCUCAAAAGAGUUGUUAAAAACCACAAUUAAAAGCUGGCAGACAACCAGCACUACAUUUUUAUGUCAUUCAGAACUGCAUGUUUCUCUUAACACUCACUUGCUGGUAAAGGUUUUCCCAGUAAUCCUGUGUCAUUAGCCUAAACAAGGCUAAGAAAGCCCAGCUGAAGGUAUCAAAGCUUGUAUAGUCAUAAUCUGGGUUUCUGCCCAACUUCACACAGGUGUACCCUUCUGGACACUGCCUGCAAGGAAAAAGAACAUUACCGGUUGGAACGUCUGCAGGAUACAGGAUUCCCAUGAAGAGCUGCAGUCCUAUUAGCGCAAACACGCUCAGACAGAACACAGUCAGGAUCAUGACAUCUGACAGCUUCUUCACCGACUGGAUCAGCGCCCCCACGAUGGUCUUCAGGCCUGCAAAUGGAGAAAGUGUUCAUGAUGAUGUAACGUCUUGGAAUGAGACACAAAGCAAACACAGGCUUCCUUAGAGAUGCAUGCAUUUUGUCAAGUCAGUGACUGAGCUCAGGACCUUGUUGUUGCAGAAAAUGGCUGCAGUUCACUUUGGGGAAGUUCUGGUCCUUACUUCAAGCAUCAGUUCCUGGCUCUAGAGGAGAAGAUGGUGUUCAGUCUCCUGGAGAAGCUCGUCAUGCUGGCUUCCUGAUAUGAACUCGGCUGCUCUCAUCAUCAGAGGAACUUGGGACCUCACAGUUAUUGAGGAUGGCUGUAGUACUUUUCAGAGGAGCACUUUAUUCUGAACAUUGCUUCCUGGCUCCAGCGCAGAACCCUCAACCUACUGGCACAGAUCCUUGACCCUGCUCGUAAAGACUUUCUAGCUUCCACUCCUGACCUUUGGGCCUUACCAGCACAGAUCUAUGAAACAGCCUUGCAUGAGUCAUUCUCACAGGCUCUGUACCUCCAGCUGGACUUGUGGGGACACUGUCAUGGGCUCUAGGUCUUCAGCCGGACUCCUGCAGGACACUGCUGUGGGAGCCAGGCCCUCAGUUGGAUUCCUUAGGUCUUCCUGUGUGGACAGAUUUCCUGCACUUCUUGUGUCUGACUCUUCUAGUGACUACUACAAAAUACUUCAAUACAUAUGGGCCCUGUAUUGUCUUGUGCUCUUUACAAUCCCUAACUACAACAAAUAUUGCCAAAGAGAGUAUUAUGUUAAGAAGGAAACAAAAACACCACUUCAACUUUGUAAUACUUUUGUCCUGAAAUGCUUUCAUAUUUAUAAAAAUUGGCCUCAUCCGAUUGAGCCAAAGGAAAGUUAAUUCUGUACUUUUAUGUAAAGAAAGCAAAUGCAUAAUUUACCGGUGAAAGUCUAUUAUCCUAUUUGAAAUUACCUGUAGAUAGCAAAUUAUCCUUACUGUAAGUCCUAAAGUAACACUGUCCAUUGAAACUGAAAGAAUAGUCAUUUUAAGAUAUGUAAAGCAUAAAAUAUUGUAUUUCAUCAUUAUACAACAUAAAGGAAAAAUACAAUGGAUUUUUAAAAAUUUGUUACAGUAAAAGAUACAUUGCCUUUAGCUCCCAUCAAAAUAUAACUCCUUAGUCUGAACACAAUUUUCUCAUCCUUCUUGCUACUUUCUGGGAAAGUUCUGGAAGUCUUUUUCUGUGAAUCUUUCAAUCAGUUAGUAGCAUUCACCUUCCAUGGUCAUUUUGACUUUGGAGAAGAGUAAGAAAUAACAGUGGAUGAGAACCUUGGAUGAGGACCCAUCAUGAUGUUUUUAUUUGACAGAAAUUGCCAUAAAUAUUUGACUAAUGUGGGGGGAUUAAAACUAUACUCUUUAAUUUUAAAGAAAUAUUAGAAUAAUAAAAUACAAAGUACCAUGAAUCGCCUUCAAAAUAAUCUCCCUUACUUUGAGCACACUUACCUCAUUGUUCUUGGUAAUGUAUCUUUCACAGUAAUAAAUUUUAAAAUUUAAAUAUUUACCAUACUUGUCCAUCGUGCAAUAUCUAACAUUCUGUAAUUUUUCCAUUUUCCCUGUUUUAUUUGUUUGCAUAAAAUGAGCAGUACUAAAUGUUGUCACACAUUACACUCAGUGAACUCAUUCCUAAUUUUUAAGAACCACCAGUAACCCUAUAGGAUCCAGAUCAGCAUACAACAUAGACAAAAUUUCAUUUAAAAUCUCUAUGGAAAUUUGUUGUAUUUAUACUUCGCUGCAUCAUUAUAAUCUUAUUAAUGGUUCUUUAGAAGCUCAAUUUUUCAAUUUUUGCACUAAUAAUUUGACUUAAAAGUACAGUGAUACCAGCUUAUGUAUCAAAUGCUUAUAAAAUAAGACAUAGGAGAGAAGAGGAAAAAUUGAAUGAAAGGUAUUUAUUAUACCACAGGACGUUGGUUAAUGACAAUGUAAAUGUAACCCCACCCUCUAAAUCUUCAAACAAAUAAUUACAGACAGAAUUAGAAUUUUCUUGUAUUUUAUAAGUGAUUCAGAAACUUUUGUAAAAAAAUCUAUGAAGACUUAAACAAAUUUAUGAUGGAUAAUAGCAGUCUCUCACCACACUUGACACAACAAAAGGAAAUCAUAAAACAAGUAAUAGUGAAGUUAUAAUUAAAGUAAUGGUGUAUUUUAACAAUGUUCUAUGGCAUUUCUGGCUCCCUGUUGUAUCAGUUUAAAAACUGAAACGUAGGGGCUGGGGAUACAGCUCAGUGGCAUUUAAAAAAAGCCUGAAAGGUAUUCCAUUUUUCAUAUUAAAAGUAGCAGUAACUGCAUGUUUUCCUCUUACAGUGAAUUUUGUUUUAAAAAAGAAAAAAAGAGACCUUUCUCAGCAUUGCUAAAAAAGGUAUAGAAAAUUUAAUUCUAAACAUAAUGUCAAGUCAAACUUUCCUAUGGCAUGGUAUGUGUACUGUUUGUGUUCAAGGCAGUCCUCCUUCCCUCCCUGCUUACCAUGGUCUGGCAUUUUUCCUCACCACCUAUAAGGGCUACAGCCGUCCAAACUUCAUUCUACUUCAGCUGCCAAGAACUGAUGGCUUCCCCUAGUGCCUAAAGCCAUUUCUUUCCAGCAAUGCAGACAGGAGAGAGAAAGCAAAACUUUCAAUGAAGAAAUGUCAUCUUACGUUAUGGCACACCACCAAAACUAUUCUCUCAUUUUCCACAAAGGUAUUCUGCUGAGCUCUUUCUCAUACAUCUUUAUAUUAAAAAUUACUCUCAUAAAAUCCUAUAAAAUCUAAUUUACUAUUACCUUGCCACCUCAAGUGGUUCUCUAACUCUAUGUAAGAAAGAUGUCGCAAUGCUUUUGUGCAAAAUAAAUGAUCUAACUUGUAACAGGACCAUCACUCAGUAUACAAAUAUAUUGCAAUAUUGCACAAUAACCACAAUUUAGCAAAAUCCCUAAUGACAAUUCAUGAAAGAAUUUAGUCCUUCAAGAUGAAACACAAUUACCAAAAUUUUAUCCAGCACAAACUACAACAAUGACAAAAUCAUGUGGUUGGCCACAUAACUAAAUAAACAAAAUCAUUAAAAAAUAGUCUCCUAGUUGAAAGCUAAAUUUAACCAAAAAUGAAAAAAUAUAUAUUUGUUAAGUUAGUAUCUUUUAGUACUCUUGAAAAAUAAAGGGAUAAGGAGUUUUAUUGUUGCAAAAUAUGCAUAUAGUAAACACAUAUGUAUAUGUAUAUACAUGUAAGUUAUAUGUACAAACAUAUUACAUACAGUUUACUGCAUUAUCACUAACCAGCAUAAACUUUGAAGCCUCCAUCGCUCUCCUUGGCAUGGUGACGGGUCUUCACAACCCACAUUUGCCACCGAGCCUCACUCAGUGAGUGCUUUGUGCUUGUGAGACUUUUGCCCCUUGCCCCUGGAGUAGACAUCAGGUCACGUGGACACUCAAUCCAUGACCUCAGCUUCACCUGACCAAACUUCUGUCACCAGGGCUCACUCUGGUAUCCAUACUUAUUAAAAAAUAAAAUGUAAAUUUAGUAGUUACUGAGUGAUCUUCAAAUCACUGGUAAAAGAUACAGACUUAAUAAUGUUAACACUGUAAAGUAGUAGUCACUCAUACUAAAAUUAGAUUAGUUUAUGCACUUCAAUUUUUUCUUAAAGUAUAUUUUAAUACAGUGGUAGUCACUACUUCCUAAGAAUAUUAUAUUUCAUUUAUUCUUGAAAUUUUGUAGCUUGAUGAUACUUCUGAAAAACGAGACUUCAUCUCAGGAUAUUUUAAUUUUACCUCCUCAAAAUCAUAGCACAGCGUUGUAAUCAUACUUAAUAUUCAUUAACUAAAAAAACCUGAAUUACAGAAUAUAUAUAUUUCCAGGGUUUGUGAGUACUAUGAUGAAAUGACUCAUAUCUCUGUAUAUUUUUACAUGCAUAUCAACAAACCUACUGCUCCAUGCCAGAUACUAUUCUGGAAACUGGAUUAACAAUAGAGACAUAAUAUGGGAUCUUUCAGGGCACUUGUAUGCAAACCUGAAAAAUACUUAGAUGCCAUAGUAAAUGCUAUGAAGGAAACCAGAAAGAUAUCAAGAGCAAGACUAAAAGGAGACAACUACUAUGACAAAGCAAUCAAGAAUGAUCUGUCUGAGACUGAGACAUUUGAGCUGAGAUGUGGUUUGAGUUAGUCAUCCAAAGAUAGGAGGGAAAUAGGUCAGCACCGAGGACAGCAUGUGGAAAGGCCUUAUGGAAGUGACAUUGCUUCAUGUGUUCUAGUACUAAGAGCCCCUGGUGGCAGGAGCACUUACAUGAGGGGAAAAUGUUGAGGUUGGAGAGAAGCAAGGUUCAGAGAGUCAACUGUAUAGGGCAGGAAGGAAUUUGCAGUUAAUGUUCAACAAUCUUGGUGUCUCAGUGUUUUCUUGUUUUUCAGAGUUGUCAUGGACCAAGGAAUACUGGGAAAUGAAUUAUGGAAUUAGUCUCUCUGGAGACUAAUGUGAUGGUUGUAGUAGGACUCCAGGUAAACUAAGAUAAUGACAUAAACGUACUUAGGGGCAGUGUAGAUCUAGAAAGGAGGAUGGAAAAGAUAAAAUGAGAAGUCUAAUAGAACAGAGGUAUAUUUGGGAAAGAAGGCUUGAUAGACUAUAUGCAGGCUAAAUAAAGAUGAAAUGUGACCACAAAGAAGAGACAGUAAUGAAAGGUAACUUCAUCACUCAGUGUAUGUGAGACAGUUUAAGGGAUAAUCAUAAACUAUCACCACUAGGAUAUCUAGAAAGAGUCCAUUAUGUUAAGAAAGUUUAUCUCCUUUACAAGGCAUGACUAAUACGUCUUAGAAAAGUACCAUGCCCAAAUGAUUGAUCAUUUUUUGUGCCUAGAUCUUGUCACUUGAACAACUAAUUCUAAGAUAACAAUAUGCAAUAUAUUAACUAAUGUUAAUUUCCUAGUAUUGUUUAAAAAUUCUGUAUCAUUCCUACCCUUUUUUUGUUUUGCUUUUUAAAAUAAAAAGUACCACGCCAUUUCAAAGUCAUUUACAUAUCUAGUAACAAUAGAAUUUAGAAAAACAUAUUUUUAUUAACUGUACAAAUGCAAAAUUCUUUUUUCCUUGCCUCAAAGAAAAUGCCUUAGAUAUUAAAUACGGUGAAUAUAACUUCACUGAUUCUCCCUCUGAAUUUUCCUUUGCUGGCAAAAUUCACCUCAGCAACAAGUAGCAAAAACACAGAAGCAUUACAACAGGAUAGAUCCCAUGAUUCCUGUGUGCCUGGGGAAUAAGAAGCCACAGAGAUGCUCUGGGCAGAGAGCCAGAACUGACUCAGCUGUCUUCUGUGGAAGCAUCAGGUACCCUGUGGGCCCGGCUCUGUAUUAUAGAAGCCUCCAUAAAAUACGUUACUGUGGUCCAUGACCUCACAGUGGUUCACUUCCACAAGGAAGCCUCUCUUUAAAUACUCAUAAAAUGUAGAAUAAAAUAAAAUAAAAUAAUAAAAAAAUUAUAAAUGAAAAACAGUAUCUGAAGCUAAACUACUGUCAAUUACCUAAAUGUCCUCCAUUAUAUCAAAGGCCAUGUUUUGUGCAGCGUUUUGUUUUGAAUGAGCUACUCAAACAAUCUGAAUCCUCAGUCUAGAGAUCAGACAAAACUGGCUUUCAAUAAUUUUUUUUUUAAAAAUACUACUUACUAUUUUUAAGGAAGUAAAUUUUAGUUUUGAUGCUUUAAAAUCCACAGGAUAAGAAUUCAGAGACUUUCAAUAAACUAGGCAAUUUAAUAACUGAAUUUGGCUUGCAGAUAACAUAUACACAGGUUUUAUUGAUAAUAAAACAUAUUUAAAGUUAGUAAAAUGAAAAAAACCAAGAUUUAAAAAAGCUUUCUUGUGUCCUGAGGAAAAAAAGAAUAGAAAAGACUAUUGAAAACCUUUCUGAAAAUAACUGCACUUCCCAAAGCUGCCUUCACCCUCAGUAACUGAAAAUCUAUUCUUUCUUUAAAAUCACUUUCAUUUGAUUUUUAUCUUAUUGAAAUAAACUUUUUCAAAAUUCCCCUAA